rnacentral:rRNA from 1 species
ACGCUCGACACCUACGGGUGGCAGCAGUGGGGAAUAUUGCACAAUGGAGGAAACUCUGAUGCAGCGAUGCCGCGUGAGGGAAGAAGGUUUUCGGAUUGUAAACCUCUGUCUUUGGGGACGAUAAUGACGGUACCCAAGGAGGAAGCUCCGGCUAACUACGUGCCAGCACGCCGGACGGUAAUCUGGACGGCGGGUCGUGGACGAAGGC